GAGACAAAGACAUAUUCUCAUAUGGAAAGGAUGAGAAACAUAUGCAAAUCACUCGAGGGCCAUCCUUAGCUUCUUUCCAAUAUCUUAAAGUUCUGAGAGUUGACUGGUGCUAUGAGUUGAUGAAGUUAAUAACACCUUCAAUGGUUAGAAGUUUGAUUCAGUUGAAAGAAAUGAGCAUAGAGAAUUGUGAAAUGUUGAUUGAAAUAGUAGAAAAUGAGGGAGAGGGAGAUGCAACAACGAGUACUGAAAUUGUUUUUGAUAAUUUGAAGAAGUUGUCACUUAGAUGCUUAGAAAGUCUCAUAUGCUUCUGCUCUGGGAAUUACUCUUUCAAUUUCCCAUCUUUGGAAGAGUUAAUUAUAGGAGAAUGCCCUGAUAUGAAGACUUUCUCUCAAGGAAUCUUAAGCACACCAAAGUUGCACAAAGUCAAUUAUGAGAGCCGCAAUAAGUCUAAAUGGAAAGGGGAGAAUAUAAUGGAAGUAAAGAAUGAGGGGAAUGAUCUUAAUAAAGCCAUACAAGGAGCAUACAAAAAUCAGGGCAUUUCCCUUGAUUUGAAGUUAUGGACAUUCAAGGAGAUCAAUUCUACAGAGAUUUGCUACAACCAACAUCCAAAUUCCUUCUAUCAAAAUUUGACGCACUUGAUUUUGUCGGGUUGUGGAAACAUAAAAUAUGCAUUUCCAUCUUCCAUCGCUAAAAGCCUCCACCAACUCCAAUACCUAAGGAUACAUAAUUGUAAGGUUUUAGAGGAGGUUUUUUCAAAAGAAGGAACAAAUGAAGAUGAUAAAUUUGUCUUUCUGCAUGUAACCUCAUUGAAACUUCAAAAUCUACCAAAAUUUACAGCUUUCUAUCAACUCAGAUUUGGAGAGAUUGGAAUUACAUAAUGCGAUCAAAAUGAUUAGAUGGCAGAGUCAAUCUAAAGUUCUUGAGAUCAAUCAUGAGAAGUUAGCAAAUAUUUCACUUGGAAUUCUUCAUAAAUUUGAAAAUCUGAAAGAGCUCAAACUAUAUUGUUGUGAAUACAAAGAAAUAUUCUCGUGUGGAAAUGAAGAGAAACAUACUGGGAGGCCCACCCAUCAGCAAAUCAAGAGCCUAUCUGAUCUUCCAAACCUUGAAGUUCUAGAUGUACUUUCCUGUCAUAGAUUGAUGAGUCUAGUGACAUCCCCAACUUCCUUGCAGAAUCUUAAAGUUUUAAGUGUAACUCGAUGUAGAGGGUUGAUGAAGUUAAUAACACCUUCAACGGCUAGAAGCUUAGUGCAAUUGAGAGACAUGAGCAUCUUUGGUUGUGAAAUGCUGAUAGAAAUAGUAGAAAAUGAGGGAGAAGGAGAUGCAACAACAACAACAACUGAAAUUGUUUUUAACAAUUUGAAGAAGUUGUCACUUGAAUACUUAAAUAGUCUAACCUUCUUUUGUUCUAGGAAUUACUCUUUCAAUUUCCCAUCUUUAGAAGAGUUAAUUAUAGAGAAUUGUCCCAAUAUGAAGACUUUCUCCAGAGGAAUUUUAAGCACACCAAAGUUACACAAAAUUGAUUAUGAGAGGAAGGAGAAAGAUUUAGAGAAUGGGGGGAGUGAGCUUAAUACAACCAUACAACAAGCACACAAAACAAAGGUUGACUCUAAUUUGACGGCAUUGAGAUUGAGUGAACGGGAUAUCAUACGGAUUUGGCAAGGAGAACUUCCAAAGAAUUCUGGCAAAGUAAAGACUCUUCAAUUGAUAAAGGAUGAAUCAUCAAACAUUCCAAUUCAAAUCCUUCAAAAAUUUAGUCGUCUUGAAGAACUCAAACUUCAAGGUAGUUCGUACGAAGAGAUAUUCUCAUGUAAUAAGGAUGAGGAACACGUUAGGACACUCACAAAAUUGAAAGUUCUAGAAUUGUUGGGACUUUUUAGUUUAAAGUGCAUUUGGAAACAAGACUCCCGAUUAAACUCAAUUCUUCAAAAUCUUUAUCAUCUAAAGGUGCAAUAUUGUCACAAUUUGACUACUUUGUUGCCAUCUUCAGCAUCUUUUGAAAAUUUACGUACUUUGAAGAUAAAUUAUUGUACUAGAUUGAGAAAUUUAGUGUCAUCCUCAACAGCAAGGAGUCUGGCGCAACUAGUAAAUUUGGAAGUAAGAGAAUGUGAAAUGAUGAUAGAAGCAUUAGCAAAUGAGGGAGAUACAGAGAAAGAUACCAUUGUUUUUGAGAAAUUGGAGGACUUGUACAUGUUUAAAUUAGGAAGUCUCACAUGCUUCUACUCUGGGAAUUACACCUUAAAAUUCCCAAACUUGGAAAGACUAAGUAUAUAUCAAUGCUCCAAGAUGAAGACUUUCUCUAAAGGAGACUUGAGCAUGCCAAGGUUACAAGAGCUGAACGGUAAAGAUUGUUCAAAGAGUGACCUUGAUACAAUCACACAACAAUUACAAAAGGAUUGUUCAGAGUUUUGUAAAAAAUAUAAAGGAGAAUAAGAGUGAGUUGGAUAGCAAACUAUUAAUGUUCAUCAACACACAGCAAAGUCAUUUGCGAUGGUGAUGGUAGUAGGAGAUACACAGAGUUAGGCGUCUCCUUCCUUGGUGGCUAACGGCGAUAUGACUCCUGUCCAGUCCGCUCUAGUAUCCGGCUGCCUGGCUUUAGUUUACAGUGAAUUUCAAAUGAGCUGUAUCGAACACGUGUGUCCUCUCCCUUUCAUUCUCCUCUACCUUUCAAAAUCGUCUGACGGUCCCGCCUGCUCAAACCGGCGGCAGUCCAGAUGAGAUUGCCAAGUUGUUGCCGAAUCUGUUCGCAAGGAUCGGCGAAAUUGGUGCCAAAUGAUGUUCAUAGGCUUCAGGAAGAUCAGAAAUUGAAAGUCGGUGUCGUGUUUGACUGGGCUUUAGGCGACAGGUGGAUACAAUGCGGUCUCAGGAAUUUUGGUGAGUUAUGAGCCAAGCAGAGGAUAGGUGUUCAGGCAGGGACUCAAUGUUGCUCUCAAGAAGCAAACACUGGAAAAUAUCGCAGACCACAUUCUAGAUGGAAUCUGUAAACAGCUGGACUCGGUCACAACUACAGGGCCAUAUCCAUUCCAGAAGGAUGAUGAUCCAAUUAAUGAAGAUGAUUCAGGAGUGCAGUUGAUGAAGACAAUGACUCAUGAAUGAUGAUUAAAGAAAAAUUUUAGUUGACUUGAACCUUGUUUCACAGGUCCUCCCGAGGCUUUUAGGUUCAAAGUCAAAUCAGGCAAAGAUAAGCAUCAUUAAUGACGUCAGUGGCAUUGGUAACUCUGGAAGGAUGACUUUUCUACUAAAGGUUUCAGAAUUUGUCUAUACUUAGAUCAUCAUUUUAAAUGCAUUUGGAAAGUUACUGUAUCGAAUAUCACACAUAUAUAAUCUUGAAAAAUCUCUAAAGGUGAUGGGUAGUUUUGAUUCAGUUGCUGAGAGGGGACUUUUCUAUAGACAAGUGUCCUGAGAAGUUAAUUGGACUGAAAGCUGAGUUGGAACUCUGCACUUUCCUAAGCUUUUCUUUAUGAGCUUAGUGUCCUGGAAAAUGCUCCACAUGGCAUGGGAUUGAGGAACCACGGAAGCUUUUCAUUAUUCUGAAGGUGAUGAUCCAAUAAAUGAAGAUGAUUCGGGAAUGAAGUUGAUGCAGAAAAACGACUCAUGCAUGAUGGUUA